AUUGAACGCUGGCGGCAGGCCUAACACCUGCAAGUAGAACGAGUGGCGGACGGGUGAGUAAUGUCUGGGAAACUGCCUGAUGGAGGGGGAUAACUACUGGAAACGGUAGCUAAUACCGCAUACCAUCGGAUGUGCCCAGAUGGGAUUAGCUAGUAGGUGGGGUAACUGCUCACCUAGGCUACGGUCCCUAGCUGGUCUGAGAGGAUGACCAGCCACGCUGGAACUGAGACACGGUCAUGACUCCUACGGGAGUCAGCAGUGGGGAAUAUUGCACAAUGGGCGCAAGCCUGAUGCAGCCAUGCCGCGUGUAUGAAGAAGGCCUUCGGGUUGUAAAGUACUUUCAGCGGGGAGGCGUUACCCGCAGAAGAAGCACCGGCUAACUCCGUGCCAGCAGCCGCGGUAAUAC
rnacentral:rRNA from 1 species